ACUACACAAAAUAAAUACAUACGACAACAUCCAUCAGAUUGAGAGACAAUACCAGGGGGCCACAGUGAAGAAAGGGGAAAUAUAGAGAGAGAAGGACGACCAUGGUCUUCUUUCUUCUUUUCUAAGAAAGCUCCAAAAUGCCAUAAAUACACAUACACAUAUUGACACACGCAUAACUCAUCUGAAACACACACACAAAGCGUGAGAUACACACUCAUCUGGUCGAGAGGGAGAGAUUGGGCAAUUGAGAGAUAGUGAGAGAAGAGAAAAGACGUGAGGCAGAGAGAUAGAGAAAAUGAAAGAGAAGGAAUACGAUAGAAAAGGUUGGCUGUUCUUUGGAUUUUUGGCAAAAUUUCUCGACAUAAUCGGCGUUUCCUUAUCAAAUCCGACCACCUGCAGACCCAAAAAUCCCUGAAUCCUCUUCGUCUCUUGUUCUCUGGCAAAAUAUCACUAAGAAUAUCAUCUUUGCUGACUGCCAGGAUUUACCAGUGCUCCGGCGAGUUCGAAUCUCAUCAGAAAUAGCAAAACCGAAGUCCAAAUAAUUAAACCCACAAUCGAGUCUGAGUGGAGUGGAGUUCGGGAUCAAAGUUAUUGAUUUGGGUUCGUGUUGAGGUUUUUGAUUUGAGUUUUCGAUGUGGACUCCAUCUCAUUCGAAUAAUAUUUGAGUUCGAAAGCGAUAUUAAGAUCCAUUUCUCAUCCCUUUCUUGAGUAAUUUUAAUUUUGAUAUCUUGUUGGGUGAAUUGAUAAUGUGUGGAUCUUGCUUUGGUUGGUUUUGUGAUGUUUGAAUCAUGAAUUUUGGUUGCUGUUAGUUUUGAAUUAUGAAAGUUGAAUUAAUAGUCUAAGGAUUGGUUAAUCAAUGAUUGAGGAUUAAAGUCGGCUAUUGGGGGCAGAAAUUAAAAAUUGAUAGAAAGCAAGCAUUAGUUAUUUUAAUUCAUUGGGAUCGUUGAGUGUGAUAAUGGCAUGACAGAUCGAGCUGGGUAGGCAAAUUUAGGAAUGAUGUUUGAUUGAAUGCGUGGAAUACUGAAUGUGUUGAAUGCUUUUCUAGUUUAUCUCAUGAAAUUGAAAUUGUAUUCAUUUGCCGAGGAAUGCCCCAUAGAAAUUGUAUUUAUUCAUCGGAGAAUGCCCCGAGGUAUCUGUAUUGCUUUAUCCGGGGAAUGCUCCGAGAAAGUUGUACUUUAAAAUGGCGCACGGUCAAGGCCCUGAACAUCAGAUAGAUUAAAGCACGGGAGCAUAAUUACGAUUAGUGUAGGUUAGAAUAGGAUUUAUUUUUUUCGCAUGUUUUAUUUUGGACUGUAUAAUUGGACUGAAAAAUUAUAUUUUGGGAUUUGUUUGUUUGGAUUUGUUCGUUAUUUAA